UACGUAGGGUGCAAGCGUUGUCCGGAAUUAUUGGGCGUAAAGAGCUCGUAGGCGGUUUGUCGCGUCUGCUGUGAAAACUCGGGGCUUAACCCCGGGCCUGCAGUGGGUACGGGCAGACUAGAGUGCGGUAGGGGAGACUGGAAUUCCUGGUGUAGCGGUGAAAUGCGUAGAUAUUGGGAGGAACACCAGUGGCGAAGGCGGCUACCUGGACCGGUUCUGACGCUGAGGCGCGAAAGCGUGGGGAGCAAACAGG
rnacentral:rRNA from 1 species